UACAGAGGUCUCAAGCGUUGUUCGGAUUCAUUGGGCGUAAAGGGCGCGUAGGCGGCUUGCUAAGUCGAACGUGAAAUCCCCGGGCUCAACCCGGGAACUGCGUCCGAGACUGGCAGGCUUGAAUCCGGGAGAGGGAUGUGGAAUUCCAGGUGUAGCGGUGAAAUGCGUAGAUAUCUGGAGGAACAUCGGUGGCGAAGGCGGCAUCCUGGACCGGUAUUGACGCUGAGGCGCGAAAGCCAGGGGAGCAAACGGG
rnacentral:rRNA from 1 species